GGAAACUGAAGCAUAGAUGGGGUAUAUAAUUUGCCCAAGAUCACACAACUAGGAAGAGAGAGCUAGGAUUUGAACCCUGGCAGUCUGGCUCAGUUCCAUAUAUCCAGCUCUUACACAUCACUGCCUUUCAACCUUCCCAAGCCUAAGUCUCCUCUGGAAAACCUCAAUAAUCACACAACAGUACCUCCACAGUACCUACUUCAGAGCACAGUUGAGGGGAUUAAAGAGUUACAAUGAGGGAGAAGAUGUCAAAAUGAAUCAAAGCUAUAAACUGAAGGAUAAAAAGUCUGGGAGAAUUCUGUCCCUCAGUGGGGAGCAGAUUGACUGGGGGAAUUUAUCCUCUCUACCCUCCCACACACAACUGACACAUUAUCAUAAAAGGCACUGCAAGGGACUUCAGAGUCCAAUUUGCAUAACAGGUAGUAGUUUGUUGGCAGAUAACCGAACUUCAAGAUGCCUGGCUUAGAGUUCCAGUUUAUUCUUUCUGUGCUUUCAAUGGAUUCCACUGUUCUG